CCUACGGGAGGCAGCAGUGGGGAAUAUUGCACAAUGGGGGAAACCCUGAUGCAGCGACGCCGCGUGAGUGAAGAAGUAUCUCGGUACGUAAAGCUCUAUUAGCAGGGAAGAAAAUGACGGUACCUGCCUAAGAUGACCCGGCUAACUACGCGCCAGCAGCCGCGGUAAUAUGUAGGGGGCAAGCGUGAUCCGGAUUUACUGGGUGUAAAGGGAGCGUAGACGGCGAUGCAAGUCUGAAGUGAAAGGCGGGGGCCCAACCCCUGGACUGCUUUUGAAACUGUAUGGCUUGAGUGCAGGAGAGGUAAGUGGAAUUCCUAGUGUAGCGGUGAAAUGCGUAGAUAUUAGGAGGAACACCAGUGGCGAAGGCGGCUUACUGGACUGUAACUGACGUUGAGGCGCGAAAGCGUGGGGAGCAAACAGGAUUAGAUACCCCUGUAGUC
rnacentral:rRNA from 1 species